UAUAUUUCAUUCAUAUAUCUUUAUAUAUAUAAAGUAUAGUUCCCUCUUUCCAGGGCCCUCCACAUCAGAUGCCAGCGCAACAAUUCGAGCUCUGCCAUGCCGCCACGUGUCUUGUUAUUUAAAAUUCAGCGAUUCAUAAUUUUGUCUACCAUCUGGGCUUUGUCUGAAGAUUGGACUUAAGUUUGUAUUUCGUUUUCAGCCCAGCGACCACUUUGCUCUGCGCUAACCUCAAUUCGUGUGGGUGAAAAGGGUUUGUUCUUCGGCAUAGACGGUGACGGUCGAGAUUUGUAGCCGUUUCUAUAAUGGAUCGCGUUACGUUUUCCAUUGAUUCAACUUCAUUAAGGAGAUCUUAACUAUUUCAAUACACUGCAACCAAGAUCAGUCAUUCAAUGAAUCUUAUCCCUCCUCCAAGUAGUAGAUUUCCACCUAUAAAAAAAUUCAGACCCAUCCCUUGAGAAUCAUUCUCACGCUUCCAAAAGCUUUUGUAAAUUUCGUCUCUCUGAUUCGAGAGUUUCCCGUGUUGCUCGGAAUUGUUAUGUUGCUCGAUCUUACCAGAGCAUUCGGAUCUAGAUCUGGCGGGGUUGGGCGGAUCCAGUAAGCAACAUAGCUUGGAUCGCUUCAUAUCGGUGGUGGCAACGACAACUAACAAAGCCAACUCCCGAGAAUGCUGGUGGUUUCAUUGAUUAAGAUUCCGCCUACACAAGCAGUGGAGCUUCUCUAUUUGAGUGAUUCGUCGUCUUCCUAAGCGGUGAACAACAGUUUAGAUCCACCGCCGCUUCACCUUACCGGACAUACUUCCCUUCGAACUCAGCCAUCUUGGAUCCUUCUCGGUGAUUGCUGAUGAGUUGCAGCAAAACGGUAACGUCUCCGGUGAAAUUAUUACUAGAAGUAUGCAACACCUGUAACAAAUGACUGGUGAGUGUCUCUGCAAGGAUUUUGGAUGAGUUUUGUUUCUUUUUUGUCUUUUUUGGAUGGAUUUUGUUAAAUAUGCAUAGCGUGCAUUCGUAAUUCAUAGUGCUUCACAUUUACUUUCUCAAAACUAAUUAAUUUCUAAUAAGUUUUGUUUACGAGUUCAUGUUUCCAAACAGCUUUGUUUCUACUUUCUAUUUAUAUAUCCCUAUUUAAACGUGUCAUAAGUGGAUGGUCUGACUCAAAGAUAAUAUAAUGGUUAUAUACCCUCAAGAAUGAUAUGCUGAAACCAAGAGACUCUACUUAGAUCGCUUUCUGCAAAUCCCAAAUUGAGUGUACCAUCCUAUGUAUAACUGAAAACUUGAAGAGUUUGCAAAAUUAACUCUGCUGUCUCCAUCAUCCCACCUAACGUCAUCUCCUCUUCGCAGUGAUGUAGAUGCUAGCCUUUGUGUAUUGAUGGGCUUGCCAUCGAGCUUCAUAAAAGACUAGAAAGCUUAUGUCUGGAAACCAAGGUUGUUUUAUCCAUGUCGCAAUCAGAUCUAUGUCUCUGCAGAGCAUAAUCAAUAUGCUAACGCAAGAAACAGGGAAGGAUGAUAUAAAGCUGGGCAUAUCCGAAGGACUCUUUCACAUGAAUUUUUUGAGAAGAUGGUGAAGGAUAGAUAAUGAAUCUGUAGGAAAGUGAAGGCCAAGGGUUUAAGAAACAAGUAGCGAGAAAGAAAGAGAAGCGUACAUAGCUUAGUGGAUGUCAGACUGAUCAAACUUUAGAGUAAGCACCAAGGAAGAAGCCUAUGGAAGAUAAUAUGACAAAUACUUUCUGAAACAAAAUGGUCAGAACAUCACAAACAAAUAAUUGGUUUUAGGUUUGAGAUAGCUUCUUGACUAUAAAUGUUAUGCUCCACAACUUGGGCUGUAUUUCACCGAUAGUCGGAUGCUCCAUUCAUAUGCUAAAAUGAAUUCAGAUUUUAGUUU